UUCACUAAUCAGGACUCCUCAUUUCAGUCUCUCAAGAUGAGAUGCCCUGCUGAGCUCCUGGGGCUGCUGAUGCUCUGGAUCCCUGGAUCUUGUGGAGACAUCGUGAUGACACAGACUCCACUCUCCCUGUCCAUCAAACCUGAAGAGCCAGCCUCCAUCUCCUGCAAGUCCAGUGAGAGCCUCCUGCAUAGCAAUGGAAACACAUACUUGCAUUGGUACCUGCAGAAGCCAGGCCAGUCUCCACAACUCCUGAUCUAUAGGGUUUCCAACCGAUUUACUGGGGUCCCAGACAGAUUCAGUGGCAGUGGGUCAGGCACAGAUUUCACACUGAAAAUCAGCAAGGUGAAGCCUGAGGAUGCAGGAGUUUAUUACUGUGGGCAUAAUAAAAACGACCCUAACACGGUGCUACAGUCCAGAGCAAAAACCUCCCUGCAUGGCGCAGCCCAGCUGUGCCCAUGUGCUGAUUGCUUGGGGACCAGCAGAGCAGAUUCUCUGAGUCUGUGUGCAAGGACAAG